rnacentral:rRNA from 1 species
AACACGUGCAAGUCGAGCGCCCCGCAAAGGGAGCGGCAGACGGGUGAGUAACGCGUGGGAAUCUACCCAUCUCUACGGAACAACUCCGGGAAACUGGAGCUAAUACCGUAUACGUCCUUAUGGAGAAAGAUUUAUCGGAGAUGGAUGAGCCCGCGUUGGAUUAGCUAGUUGGUGGGGUAAUGGCCUACCAAGGCGACGAUCCAUAGCUGGUCUGAGAGGAUGAUCAGCCACACUGGGACUGAGACACGGCCCAGACUCCUACGGGAGGCAGCAGUGGGGAAUAUUGGACAAUGGGCGCAAGCCUGAUCCAGCCAUGCCGCGUGAGUGAUGAAGGCUCUAGGGUUGUAAAGCUCUUUCAACGGUGAAGAUAAUGACGGUAACCGUAGAAGAAGCCCCGGC